UCUGGAGCCACCUCGGCCAAUCGCCGUCUCGCCUCGGUCCGGUCGGCCCAAUAGGAUGGCGGUGGGUGGAGCGACGUUCAAGGUGAGGUGCGCGGUGCGCUGGGGGCGGAGACGUUGUGCCGUCCCGGCCGGCUCCGGGGCGGGGGCAGCGGGUGGCGUCGAAAGAGAGCGCCGGCUCCCAGCCGAGCCUGGGACGCCUUCCGGCCCAGGCUCCCCCGCCCUUCCCUCGGGGCUCCCGGCUCUUCCCCCCCCCCCCCCCCCCCCGCCCCGUGUAGUCCCCCGGCGCCCCCACUCCGGCAUUUACCCCGAAGCGUGCAGCCACUUCUCUGAAGAGGCCGGAGUUGAAGUGGGGCUCUGUUAGCACCUCAGGGCAGAAAACCUAUGGAGCCAAAGGGGCUCGUCUGAGCCUCCGUUCCCCUGUUUCUGGGCGGGUCUCAGCCCACUCCAGGCCUGCGAGCCAACGAAUGCCCGAGAUGAGGGUCCUCCACUGAGAGCGGAGGCCGAGCUGUGCCCUUCUGAGCGGAGCGCCCUCCCCGCCCUCAGCCUAAUUUAGAUCCCACACCUGCUCGCUUUUCCUGCUUCCGGAACCCACGCUGGACCCCCACCUCUCAGCCAGCCUGCCCGGCACUAGCCAGACCCUUCCCCCGACCCAGUGCUACUCCCCUGGGUGUGCCCGUAUCCGCGGGCUCUCACAGUCCCCCAUUACCUUCUGGAGGAAAGGGCCUUUCCUAGCCGCACCGAUACCCAGACUAGCGCUUCAAUCUAGGUCUGGAGUUUUGGAGCGGGUGUCUGACAGCUCUCUCCCCCCUAGAAGAUGAGAUUAAACGAGAAAAGUCUUCAUAUACUUGGUUGGGACCGUCACUGACUGUUUAGUCUUCAGCAAACAUUUAUUGCGACAAUAAUCCUAAGUGUUUCAGACCAGGAGUCAGAUUAGAAUUUAAAUCUGUGGACUUUAAAAAUGAACUUGGACAAAUGAGCUCUCUGUUGCCUCAGUUUCCUCUGUUGUCACUGGGUAUAAUGAUAGUGCCUAUCUCAUUAGGUCGUUGUGAGGACUGACAAGUCAGUGCAUGUGAAACUCUUAGCUCAGUGUAAGUGCUUUAUAAAUCUUGCCUGUUAUUCUUACGUGCCCUGCAAGAAUUCUUACGGUGCGCUGUGCUGGGAUGCAAAGAUGAAAUAAGACAGUUUGUGCCUCCUCAAGAAGUUCACAGUUUGUCAGAUAAAACUGUAGGAAAAUAAUUGCCAAACACUGUGAUAAAAACAGAGAUGCACAGGGGAUGGGGUGGCCAGAAAGAUAGAUAUAAUGAUGUAAGAGAGUUGGUCAGUAAAGGCUUUUUGUAGUGGGAGAUUAGGAGGGCACUAGACAUCCUAAACAGCAAGCUUCAGGAAUAUGGCUCAGUUUGGGGACUGGCUGGAACACAGGAAUGAGCGGGGAAGCAGCAGGAGGUGAGCAGGUCAGACCAUAGAGGACUAAAGGUGUGUUGAGCAAUAUGGACUUAAACCCUAUAGGCCACGAAGAGUCCUCAAGGGGAAGGACUCAUUUGACCAGCUUUUAAUUUUUUUCAAUGUUUAUUUAUUUUUGAAAGGAGAGAGAGAGAGCACAAGCAGGGGAGAGACAGACAGCGAGGGAGACAGAGGAUCCAAAGUGGGCUCUGUGCUGACAGCAGAGAGCCUGGUGCGGGGCUCGAACCCACAAACUGCGAGAUCAUGACCUGAGCUGAAGCCAGGAAUCAGAUGCUUAACCAACUACGCCACCCAGGUGCCCGUGACCAGAUUUGAAUUUUAAGUAGAAUCACUCUGGCAUGUGGAUAAUUAUCAAUUGGGGUAUAUGGGGUAAAAGACAAAGAGGCCCUGAAAACAUCUUUAAGCUCUGAGGAGGAGAUGCGAGGAUAUAAGGAGAAUGACAAGUUCGACUUGGUUUAUGUUGUAGGUGCUGUGGGAUGAUCUGGUGGAGACUCUGAAGGUCAUUGAACUUGCAAAAGAAUGAGGCCAAGUCUUCAGGAAGCUCCGAAGUGUGAAUCAGGAAUUCUCCACACCAGUGAUGCUGAUCGGCUUCCUAGUCUCUAAAUAUGCCCAGUGUAUCUGCCCUGAGGAACUUACACAUGCCCAAGAAGCCUUCCUGUCUCCUCUCUGUUUACCUAAAUACUUCCUCACUUUCCCACCCGUGGCCAUCCUCACACCAACCCCUUUACAACUGGAUGGUUCUGUUCAUCCAGGCCCUGGCCUGGGCUGCUCUGUGGCGGUGACCUCUUUGGGAACAUGCCUGGUCUCCCCAGGUAGCAUCAAGCAGCCCGCAAAUACUGAGGACCGUGCUGGUCUGGGCCGUGGGUGAGGGCGUGGCGUUAGGGCAGCGAGCCAGAGAAACCCACAGACUUUAUCCUAGUAGAGUCUACACCCCAGCAAAGCCUGAUGUGGGUGAAACAAGACUGUGAAGGCAUCGGGCUGCUGAAGAAACAAAUGGCAUGGGCACUUGGGUGGCUCAGUUGGUUAAGCAUCUGACUCUGGCUCAGGUCAUGAUCUCACAAUUCAUGAGUUUGAGCCCCGCCUUGGGUUCUCCGCUCUCAGCAAGGAGCCCGCUUUAGAUCC
rnacentral:lncRNA from 1 species